rnacentral:tRNA from 1 species
UAUAUAGCAGUGUUGGAGCACAAAGAAUUUUGAUUUCUUAAGAGAGAAUUUUUACAUUUCCUUAUAA